CUAUGAAGUGCCUGAAGUUGAAAGGAUAAUUUUGAUAGGAUUAAUCAUGUGAUUACACCUUCAUA
rnacentral:tRNA from 1 species